rnacentral:rRNA from 1 species
UGCAGAAUCCCGUGAACCAUCGAGUCUUUGAACGCAAGUUGCGCCCUAAGCCAUUUGGCCGAGGGCACGUCUGCCUGGGCGUCAAUCAUCCAUUCGUCACCCAACCUCUGCUCCCUAAAAAUGAGCUCGGUUCCUGGGUACGGAAGUUGGCCUCCCGUGCUCCUGAAGCGCGGCUGGUCUAAAAUCGAGCAUCGGACUGAUGAUCUCCGAGGCACGCGGUGGUUGUUCAUUCUUACCUCGUGAUGUUGCCCCGGAGCGUCUCCCAUACGGAGCUCAACGACCCUAGAUUCAUAACGAUGCGACCCCAGGUCAGGCGGGGCCACCCGCUGAAUUUAA